AAAGAGCAAUGGAGCACUUAACCCAGAGUAUGGCGAAGAUGACGCAAUCACUGAAGGCAAUUCAGAAAGAUGUGGCGUCACUGAUUAAUCCAAAGGCAGCUCUUAUUCUUCCAAAGCAGACAUGAAUAGAGUUAUGGAGGGAGAUAGAUCAAGAAGUGAUUUAGAGGUUCAGCUACCGCCUAACAUUCACAAGGUGCAUGUAGGGGAUCAAUGGGCG
rnacentral:lncRNA from 1 species